AUAAUUUUUAUUUUUCAAUUACAGUUGACAUACAAUAUUAUGUUCGUUUCAGAUGUAUAACCCAGUGAUUAGACACUCAUAAGUUAAU